UACGUAGGGUGCGAGCGUUAAUCGGAAUUACUGGGCGUAAAGCGUGCGCAGGCGGUUUUGCAAGCCGGAUGUGGAAUCCCCGGGCUCAACCUGGGAAUGGCAUUCGGGACUGCAAGGCUGGAGUGCGGCAGAGGAGACUGGAAUUCCUGGUGUAGCAGUGAAAUGCGUAGAUAUCAGGAGGAAUACCGAUGGCGAAGGCAGGUCUCUGGGCUGACACUGACGUUCAUGCACGAAAGCGUGGGGAGCAAACAGG
rnacentral:rRNA from 1 species